ACGGAGGAUCCAAGCGUUAUCCGGAAUCAUUGGGUUUAAAGGGUCCGUAGGCGGGAUGUUAAGUCAGUGGUGAAAGUCUGCAGCUCAACUGUAGAAUUGCCAUUGAUACUGAUGUUCUUGAAUCAAUGUGAAGUGGUUAGAAUAAGUAGUGUAGCGGUGAAAUGCAUAGAUAUUACUUAGAAUACCGAUUGCGAAGGCAGAUCACUAACAUUGUAUUGACGCUGAGGGACGAAAGCGUGGGGAGCGAACAGG
rnacentral:rRNA from 1 species